UCCGAAUUGGUGUAGUGGCCAACAUUUGACGCUCUCAUCUGCCUUCUCGGCCCUCUCACCAGAGGUUGGUUGAGGAGGAGUGCCAGUGCCGUCAAGCCCGGGGUUCGAUUCCCCGAUUCGGAG